rnacentral:rRNA from 1 species
UACGGAGGGUGCGAGCGUUAAUCGGAAUUACUGGGCGUAAAGCGCGCGUAGGCGGCUUGUCAAGUCCGACGUGAAAGCCCUGGGCUCAACCUGGGAACGGCGUUGGAGACUGGCAGGCUCGAGUGCGGGAGAGGGGUGUGGAAUUUCCGGUGUAGCAGUGAAAUGCGUAGAGAUCGGAAGGAACACCAGUGGCGAAGGCGACACCCUGGACCGACACUGACGCUGAGGCGCGAAAGCGUGGGGAGCAAACAGG